rnacentral:rRNA from 1 species
GGAUUCCCCGAGUAGCGGCGAGCGAAACGGGACGAGCCCAGCGCUGAAUCCUGCGGCCCCGGCGGGCCGCCGGGAAAUGUAGCGUUCGGGAGGAGAGUUAUAAAUAUACGCGCGGUCAUUAGUCACGGCUGCCAGUCCAAGUUCAUCUUGAACGGGGCCGCUUACCCGUAGAGGGUGCCAGGCCCGUGGUGACGGUAGCCGGCCGCGACGGUCUCUCUCCCCAGAGUCGGGUUGCUUGAGAGUGCAACCCUAAGCGGGUGGUAAACUCCAUCUAAGGCUAAAUACUACCACGAGACCGAUAGCGAACA